GGACCAUCAUUCAGUUCUAAAGAAGUUCAGUAAAUGUGUACGUCCCAUUCUGUAAAUACAAUAUUUUACAAACAAUUUAGAUACAACAACCUGAUCUUUGUUUUAUUUUUCACAAGAAGCUAUUUUUGGCUUACGUGAAGGGAUGCAUGCUCUUCAUCUUGCAGUGUUUCUUGAACAUGGUCAGGGACUCAGGGCAAUGGAUAAAAUCUAGAUGCCAAGUUGACUUUUUUCCUGCGGAUUUGCUUAUCGUGAAGAUGCACAAAGGGUUAAUAGCUCAAGCAUUUGAUUGUUGGCAAAAUAGAAGUUCCUUCACCAAAGGAAGAAAGUCGUCCCACUGAUUCGGAAGCUACAAGAGGUACUGAAAACUUUGAAACUAGUGGCGAUGACGACAAUGAUCGUAAUCACAAGCACCGAAGACCACUGCCACGUUCUUGCACUAUAGUAUUAUCUCAAUCACAGCAUUGAAAUAGUAUGAUCUAUUACUUCACAUUUUCUGUAUCAUGAGGACCAUGGCCACGUUGUGCCAAUAUAUGUGUAGCCUUGAAAGGUGUCCUCUUAAGUGUAGUUACCAUUAAUGAUUUGAGUUGCAAUUAACGUUCUUCACAAUACGCUUCAAAAUCCUAACUGAGUACCGUCAAUGAGUGUCAGAUUCAGAUCCAA